UACGUAGGGGGGCAACGUUGUCCGGAUUUAUUGGGCGUAAAGAGCGUGUAGGCGGCCAAGCAGGUCCGCUGUGAAAAACUCGAGGCUCAACCUCGAGACGUCGGUGGAAACCGUUUGGCUAGAGUCCGGAAGAGGAGAGUGGAAUUCCUGGUGUAGCGGUGAAAUGCGUAGAUAUCAGGAGGAACACCUGUGGCGAAAGCGGCUCACUGGACCAUAACUGACGCUGAUGCACGAAAGCUAGGGGAGCAAACAGG
rnacentral:rRNA from 1 species